UACAGAGGGGGGCAAGCGUUAUUCGGAAUUAUUGGGCGUAAAGGGCGCGUAGGCGGCCUGGCAAGUGGAAGGUGAAAUCCCUCGGCUUAACCGAGGAACUGCCCUCCAAACUGCUUGGCUUGAGUCCGGGAGAGGUGAGUGGAAUUCCCAGUGUAGCGGUGAAAUGCGUAGAUAUCGGGAGGAACACCAGUGGCGAAGGCGGCUGUCUGGGGUAUUGCUGACGCUGAGGCACGAAAGCCAGGGGAGCGAACGGGG
rnacentral:rRNA from 1 species